rnacentral:rRNA from 1 species
AUUGAACGCUGGCGGCAUGCCUUACACAUGCAAGUCGAACGGCAGCGGACCUUCGGGUGCCGGCGAGUGGCGAACGGGUGAGUAAUGUAUCGGAACGUACCUUUCAGUGGGGGAUAACGUAGCGAAAGUUACGCUAAUACCGCAUAUUCUGUGAGCAGGAAAGCAGGGGAUCGCAAGACCUUGCGCUGGUUGAGCGGCCGAUAUCAGAUUAGCUAGUUGGGGAGGUAAAGGCUCACCAAGGCGACGAUCUGUAGCGGGUCUGAGAGGAUGAUCCGCCACACUGGAACUGAGACACGGUCCAGACUCCUACGGGAGGAAGCAGUGGGGAAUUUUGGAAAAUGGGGGCAACCCUGAUCCAGCCAUGCCGCGUGAGUGAAGAAGGCCUUCGGGUCGUAAAGCCCUGUCAGGUGGGAAGAAACCCGGGCAACCGGCUGACGGUACCACCAAAGGAAGCACCGGCUAACUCCGUGCCAGCAGCCGCCGUAAAAC